rnacentral:rRNA from 1 species
GGGACCCCGCAACCGGUGAAGAUGGUGAUUUAUUUCAAUGCACCGCAAAAAACCUUACCUGGUCUUGACAUCCACGAAAGUUUUAAAAAAUGAGAUGGUCCCUUCAGAAACCGUGAGACAGGUGCUGCAUGGCUGUCGUCAGCUCGUGUUGUGAAAUGUUGGGUUAAGUCCCGCAACGAGCGCAACCCUUAUCCUUUGUUGCCAGCGGUCCGGCCGGUAACUCAACUGACACUGCCAGUGAUGACUGGGGGAAGGUGGGGAUGACUCCUCGUCAUCCUGGCCCUUACGACCAGGGCUACACUACUGCUACACUGGCACAUACCCACAGACCCGACCUCGGGAGAGCAUCGGACCUCAGUAUGUGCGUCCGGAUUGGAUUGGAGUCUCCAACUCGACUCCUUGAAAUCGGAAUCGCUCGUAAUCGUGGAUGUAAUGCCAAAGUGAAUACCUGGUCGGGUACUUGUACACCCC